AUUAGGCAAUAGAGGACAACCUUCCAGAGAGAGUGGGCACCAAGGAGUUAGUAACAGAUCCAGUGGAGUGGGAGAUGGGGAAGUGGAGGUGGUUGGCUGGGAAGAGGAGGAGAGGAAAGGGAAGGAAGGGAGCGUCAUGUGGGUAUGCAGCCCAGGAGGGCAAGACAAAUGGGUUUGGGCUGGCCUGGAAAUACUGGGGCUAGGAUGUAUGCAGGUGGGAAGAGGAAGGGGUGAGCUUUCCUCCUCCCACCUGGUCAUUUUAGGUUGACUAGACAGACAAGGACACCCUCAACCUAGCUCUUCCUUGACAGUCUCGGAAGUGUCCCACUUCCUUCAUCCCAUCCCCAUCUUGCAGGCCAAGGCACACUAUUCUCAUCCCUCCUUCCCUCUCCCUUCCUGCCCCCAUGGCUCCCCUGAGGUUUUUCGGAACCAGCCACUCCCACCCCCAGUCUGCUGUCUCACCCUCCCUGGCCCAGCCUGGUGAGACAGGCAGGGAGGAGUUUCCAGGCAGGAAAGCGCUGAGUCACUCACCAACACAUCUGGUCUCAGAUCUUGAUACCCAGCUGGAAGGGGCAGGAAGGAAGAGGGCUCCUCCCCACAAGCUCUCCUGGCCAGUCCCCACCAUUGCCAGCUGUGUGGGGCAGUCUGGGAGAGGAGCGCCUCUGCCACUGUAACAACUAGCCUUUGCUGGACUGCCUCGCCCACUCCAGCUGGGGUGCUUCACUUCUGUGAUUGCCUUUAAUGCUCCGAACAGCCCUGGGAAGUAGGGCCGAUCACCUCCAAUUCACAGCCACCAUGCCAUGAGGAAGCACAAGCAACCCGUGGAAAAGCCCAUGUGGAGGAGAACCAAGACCCCCAGCCAAAUACCCUGCUGAGCUCCCAGCUGACAGACCGCAUCAACUUGCCAGCCACAUGAGUGAGCUGUCCUGGACGCGAGUUCUGCAACCUCUGGGCAAGCCACCUCAGCUGAUGCCACGUGAAGCAGAAAUGAGCUGCCUCCACCAAGCCGUGCCCAAAUCACAGAUCUGUGGGUAAAAUAAAUGAUUGUUAUUAUUAUAAAAAA
rnacentral:lncRNA from 10 species